UGUUAAUAUCUUGUGGAUCUCCCUGAUUUUGUUGGUUUUCUUGGUUUCCUCGAGUGUUGGCAAUGUUGUUCGACAUAGUUGACCAACAAGAAAAGUUAAGCGAGAAAAAAAAGAUUAUCAGAUUUUUAGUAACGGAACUAAUUUGUUUAACCAAAAAAUGGGAUUUUAGUCAAAGCUAGAAUUUAGAAGAACACGGAUUACUGAUAAUCAAAAGAAUGUAUCAAAAGAAAUAAUUUAAGAAGGAAAAGAGUCUUUCAAGAGAAAAGCAAGUAAACCAAGAUAUAUUCCAAUGAUUUCGUGUCCUCAACUGAUAUGUCUCCCUUUUAUAGGUGUCCUGAAGAUAUACGUUUUGCCCGAAUCAUAAUGAGGCUAUUAUGAAUAAUUAAAGACAUUGAAUGCUAUGUUACAUAAUCAUUCUAUUCAAUACAAAUUCCCUAACAUAUUUCAUAUUUAAUGUCCAUUAAAUGUCGUAUCUGCACUCUUUUCUAUUGUCAGAUUCAUUCAUUUUGACCCUCAAAUAUAAAUGACUUCAAUAGGUACGGGUGCUGAGUUAUUUGAAUAACUACCCGUGCCUCUUCUCCUGUCAUUUCCUCGUACCUGUUGCAGCUCGUGCCUCUUGGCUAACUGUAAUUCUUUGACCAUUCAAUCAGUCUACGUGUCUUGACACAUUACCUUAAAUACAUUUUUUUCCCAAUACACUUAGUUCCUUGGCAGCCAACGCAUCCUCGAAGAAUUGAUCAAAUCUAGUAUGUCCCAUACACCCACAUCCAUGUUGUAUCAGUCAAGCAGGGGGUAUUGAAGGAUUCAUAUAAUUAUGAAAGAUAGCUCUAUAGUUGUUACUACCUAAGACAAGGUGCGCUCUUUCCAACAGCUUCCAUCUUUAAAUAUGAAGCAACAGAUAGUUGAAACUGAAAGUAAUUAAUUUAUACAUGAAAAACUUUUCGAAGUUGAAGAAAGAUGCUUACAAGAUUAGAAAGCAUCAACAUUAUACUAAUGGAUGGUUUCGUGGAGACGUGGUAAAAUUGCUCCUAAGACAUCUUAAUUUUCAGAUAAAUUGCAUCAAACUUUGAUCUUGAAAAGAAUAGCUGGAAAACAUAUCAAGUAAGAAACAUAAUCUCCUUUUCUUCUCCCCUAGGUGAUUAAGAAUUAGGUACAAGUCAUUACAUAAUUUUGCAAGGAACAACAACAACAACAACUACCCAGUAUAGUCUCACAAAGUAGGGUCUGGGGAGGGUAAUGUGUAGACGAGCCUUACCCCUAUCCGGAAGGGCAGAGAGGCUGUUUCCAAUCGACCCUCGGCUCAGUG
rnacentral:lncRNA from 1 species